rnacentral:rRNA from 1 species
GACGAACGCUGGCGGCGUGCUUAACACAUGCAAGUCGAACGGAAAGGCCCCCUUUUGGGGUACUCGAGUGGCGAACGGGUGAGUAACACGUGAGUAACCUACCCUUUACUUUGGGAUAACUUCAUGAAACUGGGGCUAAUACCGGAUAGGAGCUCCUGCUGCAUGGUGGGGGUUGGAAAGUUUCGGCGGUUGGGGAUGGACUCGCGGCUUAUCAGCUUGUUGGUGGGGUAGUGGCUCACCAAGGCUUUGACGGGUAGCCGGCCUGAGGGGGUGACCGGCCACAUUGGGACUGAGAUACGGCCCAGACUCCUACGGGAGGCAGCAGUGGGGAAUAUUGCACCAUGGGCGGAAGCCUGAUGCAGCAACGCCGCGUGCGGGAUGACGGCCUUCGGGUUGUAAGCCGCUUUCGCCUGUGACGAAGCGUGAGUGACGGUAAUGGGUAAAGAAGCACCGGCUAACUACGUG